rnacentral:lncRNA from 1 species
GAAGCGAAAGAAAGAAAUUGAAGAAAGCAAGGAACCUGGUGUUGAAGAUACGGAAUGGUCAAACACACAGACAGAGGAGGCCAUACAGACCCGAAGUGAGGAGUCCCAAGGAGCAAUACAUCGAAGCAUGUCUCAGCCAGAGGCUAGCAGCAGCAGCUAUGACAGUUCAAGAACCAGAAAGAGAGUCCAGAAGUAAUUCAGAUGCUGUGAACCAGAUUUCCUUUUCUUUGUUUUCUUUUGACUUUUU